rnacentral:rRNA from 1 species
AUGCCAUCGCGGAAAAGGGUUAAAACCGUGUAUAUAGCACCGACGCGUACCAGUGACUACUCCACGGCCUCCGCUUAUAGGGCACAGUUUUUGGGCUUGGUCCUCUUCGCCAUGGACCAAAUGCUUUGGAAGGCUUGGGCCCCACCGAAAGUCAAGUUCUUUGCUUGGCUCACGCUUUUGGAUAGGAUCUGGACUGCUGACAGAUUGAAGAAGCGAGGGUGGCCUAACUGUGGCCCUUGCCCUUGUGCCGAUGGGUGCAGGAAUGUGGCCCUCAUCUUUUCUUCAAAUGUCGCUUCACUCUCAGGCUUUGGAACCUGGCUAUUCAGAAAUUUCGCAUCCACGACAUGGACACAUCCGCAUGGCACUUGUUCGACUCCAUUCAGGCCUAGUGGGCGAGCACGUGCGCCGCGGCACCACCGAUAG